GCACAGUAAUGUUUUCAUAUAACUUGCCUAUUUGAAUUGUAGGGCACACACACACACACACACACAGAGAGAGAGAGAGAGAGAGAGAGAGAGAGAGAGCUAUCCUAAAAGAUUGUCAAAAAGAUUUACACUUGUCUCUGCCCGAACAGACAACCUCUCAGGUCAUAAGAGUAGACCGCUGGAGCCAGGUUGUCUGGAACCCGUGAGCCACUUCCAAAUCCGGAUUAAAAACGCGAUAAAAUGUAGAGUAAAACGCACCAAAACCAACGAUACUCUCGCGACAGAAGGCUCGAGGCAAACAAGAACAGCAACAGCAACAACAACAACAACAACAACACAGAGAUAGUCUAUAAAAGUGCACCGGCAAGCUCCGUUACUCUUACGCGCAGCUCGCGCUUCUCCCGUCCUGAAUGAGGAGCGUCCCCGCCCUGCGCUACACACACACACACACACACACACAAAACACCCGGUCGUGUUUUCUAUCUUUGAAGGUUUUCUGUCUGUCUUUUCGGUUUUUCUGUCACGGCAGUGAGAUGAGCAGGACUGCGGAGCUGUCACGGGUCACAAGAGAGAAACUCCGCGCUGACACAGCACAACUUCUCUACAUGCCUGUUUAGAUCUGAGUGGAAAUUACUAGUGUGACAGAAGGGAAGUAUUUCAUCUCAGAGAACCCACUGAGGAAUUACAAGAGCAGACUUUGGAGAACAAAAAGAUUUUUUUUCCCUCAUACUCGAAAAAAGAGGCCUGCCGCUGAUUGACAAUGCCCAGGUCUACUGCUUCCACUAAAAACAUUAGGAAGAAAGAAGAGAGAGAAAAAAAACACCAAAUGAGAUUUGUUGUCGAAUCCGGCGAGGGACAUCAAUGCUAAAUUAAUUUCUGCUCGUUGGAUUUGGAAGACAUUGUGUUCAGGCCAGUCCCGAGAGAAGAUACAAGCUUAUCAAGAAGGUCUGGAGAAUACUGAUGCUUUCAUGAAUCUUAGUGCUUUUCUGUAAGAUUCUUUAUAUUUGUCUCUUAAUUUCAUCUGCGAAUUAAAAUUUUAUUCGGCUGUGUUAAUUCGAUUCGGCUUUGGUGACCACAUAGCUGACGAAAAAGUACCUUUGAAAAUUCAUAGUAGGCCUAUUUGUUUUUCUUUAUAUGUUUUUUAGGUUAUAUCAUGCAAUUUUAUGAAACGUGUUUUUCUUCAAAAAUAAGAUUUUAAAAUUACAAUAUUAUAAUUGUUAUAUUAUAAUAUUAUAAUUUAAAAUGACUUCAUUCUUCGUGCCAGUAUAGUAUCAACACAAUUAUUAUUUUUAUACUCGAUAUUAUCCCCUUUUAACGUUUCAUUCACAACAAUUUUAUAGCGUAUUAAGAAGCAAUCUUUAAUUAAUGAAUCACACGAAGGUGUUGUGAUCAAGAGUGAAUUUUCUUUUUAAAAAAUCUGACGAAAUGUGUGCACAGUAUACAUUUAUGGUUAAAGCAUCACGUGACGGCUUUUAACGCGUGUGUGUGUGUGUGUGUGUGUGUGUGUAAAUCAUUAUAGCUCUAUAUGAACCCUAACCCUUUUUUUGCAUUUUUAACAGUUUGCUUUUAUAUAUAAUAUAUAUAUAUAUAUAUAUAUAUAUAUAUAUAUAAAAUACGGGUUAUACUUAUAACUCUCCACCUUGAUAAAAUCGUGUUACAGCCUAAUAAGGUCUGGAAAUGCGUAUGGAUAUGUGACGGUACAUCAUAAAUUAUCAUACUGAAGGAAAAACUAUUUAUAAGAUAUCUGUUCUCCUGUAGCGUGCUUCAUAUUUCAUGACAAUAAUUUGACCGGUUAGGGUAUUAAGUUUUUUAAGUUACACUGUAAGAUGCGAUGUUUUUUCUUUAAUUCAAGACAGGAAUCCUCCAAGUAGUAUGUACAAGGAUCCAUGUUUCGCUGACAUCCAAAUGAGAGGACCAUGUCUGUGUCAGGAGGUUACAUAAACCACAUGGUUGGUGUGCCCAGAAACAUGAGCCAGACAUCAUUCUUUGGAGCCUGUCCCAUCGGAUGAGGGGAGGGGAUGGGUGCAAGUUAUGGACAUAUAACUUUGCCAUUUGUUGGGCCCAUCUGUGUGUCUGCUGUAUGACUUGCUGCAUGAAAUAUUCAAGGUCCAGUGAAAAGUGAUCUGAUGGUCGGUGUCAAGAACCCCCCCCCCCUUUUUUUUCUGGUCUUCUUUACUAGAGACUAACAAUUACCAACUGCACACAAAAAAAACCCCACAAAACAAAACAUCAAAAUAACAAGCAGGAUGCAUCAUCUAGUAGUACUCCAGCUUCUGUCUCCCAAUUGCCCACACCUUCACUGGAUCACCAGUUUAAAAAUGAAUUUAGUUCAGGAAUAUCAUAUACCAAGCUCAUAUUUUCGUUUGGAUAGGAUCUUGAUAUAUGGUAUGUGGAUUAGCAUUGUUAUGAGUAUUUCUUUCUCUUUCCAAAAAGAGUUAAUAAAAAAUGAGGUGUGUAAAAAAAAAAAAAAACUUGGUGUGGUAAACACAUCGGCAAGUCUUGAGUUGCAUAAUGAAAUGCAAAUUUGAACAUGUUAAAGUGUCCAUUGCCAAAACAUUCAAACACAGCCCAAAAUCACUUCAUGGUAUACACUAAAUGAAACGUCUGUUUAGAUGCGAUCACCAAGAUUUCGGUAGUUUAGACAAAAUUUUCUCUUGUCCCCAAAACACUUGGUUCUCUGAAGUGUUUGCGGUUCUCCAGCUUACCUUCAGAUUAUGCAAUGCACACACUCCCACUGCAGGAAAAACAAUUUGAGGAAACUGGGAACAAUCGUAGGCAGGCUUCAGCAUGCUGUCGUAAAAAUGCAUAGGUCCUUGCAUAGGUCCAUUCUGUGGCCUGACAGUUUGACGAAGCUGCCGAUAAAUCAUCCAGAACAGCAGGAAACAACUUACAAAACAGCGGUGUGCUGUAUUUUUUAUAUCUGUAUUUUUUUUUAUAAUUGUGAUGCUAUGAUCUGCCCUUUUGGCUAGGUAGGUGUUUGUAAAGGGAUGGGGAUUUCUACAGUGUUAAAUAAACAGUUAAUGCAACAGCGACUCUAAGAGCACAACAGCAAACACAUUCACAAACCAGAAAAUGCAACACCAAAAGACAACUUAUAACAACAGCAAAUUUAGAAACAUUUACUCAAUACAGAAACGGUAGAUCCUUAUUCCUAAAAUCAAAUGCUCUUUGCUGAUUGGACAGCGUGUUUGACUAUCAAAAGAAACAAUGAUUGACUCUUUUCUACUAAGCCUAAUGUCCUAUUAGAAUAAUUCGUUCUUCUUCAUCCAGCUUCCUCCACACGGUUUGCAUACUCAUAAUGCUGUCUGAUAUUAAAAUGAUAGUAUAUACAACAUCCAUUCAUUUGCCAAUUCCCCACUAGCUAGCUCUCACCAGAGGGGUGAAAGCUAACAUGUGCUUCUUCUGAAACAUGUCAAGCCAGCCAAUAAGAAAGUCCUAUUUACCGUCUUCUACAUACAUGACCUCAUAGAUGCCCACAGCGUACUAGUGUCACCGUGAUUGACAGGCCAGAGAGAGUAAUGUUAUCCAUCCGAUUUGCCUUUCCUGGCCUGGGAUGGCUGUGGCAUUGUCAGGGUUUAAACUUGACGAUUGGGCUAAUGCUUUUCUGUCGCGCCACUCGGGAGCAAGUUGAUAGCAUAUCUGAAAUAACACUAUGUGAAUGCCACUGAUAUAAAUAAGCAUGAAUACAAGCAUCAGUAUUUAUUCAGUCUCAUAUUUCAGAUUACUGUAAACAUUUUCUAGCUUUCUCAUACUGAUCGCGCUGUAGACAAUCAAGAGCAAUGAUGUGAUGUAAGGACUCACCCUUUCCUUACCCUUUUAGGGGCAAUUGUCGAUGUGUUUCUUAUUGUUGGUUCUUAAUGUGUCUUGUGCUCACUGGCCUCUAUAGAACUACUAAAAAGAUGCAACUAGCUACACAUUUGCUGUUGUGUUUUCAAAUUUGUUGUGGUGCGUUUGGAUUUGCUGUUGUCUUUUUGGCUUCACGGUUGUAUUCGAUGCAUUGUUUAAAACCUUUCCACUCUGCAUUUGCUACACAAUCUGGCAUUGUAUUUUCAGAUGUAUUGUGGUGUUUGAGUUUAGCUCCUGUGUUUUAAUGUUACUCUAGUGUUCUUACUUUUGUCGUGUUUUGAUUUUGCUCUUGUGUUUUUCUGUUGUGUUUUAAUUUUGGAACUAGCUUUCCCUGUUCUGGUUUCUGACUCUGUGUUGAGUUUUCAGUCGGUUGUUCUGUUUUUGUCUCACUGUUGUAUUUUCUAAUUUGAUGUUGUGUUGUGUCUGUAUUUCAUCUGACGUCAUGUGUACACAUGUAUUGUGGUGUUUUAGUUACACUGCUGUGUGUUUUAAUUUUACUCUAGUCUUCUCAGUUUUGUCGUGUUUUGAUUUUGCUGUUGUGUUCUUGUUAUAGUUUCAUUUUUCCGUUGUGUUUUAAUUUUUGCCGUUGUAUUUUUGAUUUGAUGUUGUGUUUUAGUUUUGCUGUUCUGAUUUCUGAGUUUUCCAGUCGGUUGUUCUGUUUUCGUUCCGCAGUUAUAGCUUCUGAUUUGAUGUCGUGUUUUUAAUUUGAUGUGGCAUUGUGUUUCCAGGUAUAUUGUGCUGUUUUAGUUACGCUGCUGUGUGUUUUAAUUGUACUCUAGUGUUUUUAGUUUUUUAAUUGUGUCACUCUGUAUUUGGUCUGACAUUGUGUUUGUAGACUCAGUGUCGUGUUUUACUUUGCCGUUGCUGUGAUUUUGAUUUUACUCGUGUUUUUUGUUUGAUUUUUCUGUUGCUUUUCUGACUUCUUGUUGUGGUUUAGAUUUGAUAUUUUUGCCAUAGUUGUGUUUUAGUUUUGCCGUUCUGUUUUCUGACUUUCUGCGUUUUUAGUCGGUUGUUCUCUUUUUGUGUUCGCUGUUGUAGUUUCUGAUGUGAUGUUGUGUUUUUAAUUUCCCCACUCUGUAUUUGAUCUGGCAUUGCGUUUACGGAUGUAUUGUGUUGUUUUAGUCACGCUGCUGUGUGUUUUAAUUUUACUCUAGUGUUUUUGAUUUUGUUGUGCUUUUAUUUUUGCUGUCGUGUUUCUAACUUCUUGUUACGGUUGAAUUUUUCUGUUGUGUUGGCGUUGUGUUUUUGAUUUGAUGUUGUGUUUUAGUCUUGAUGUUCUGUUUUCUGACUCAGUGUUGAGUUGUUAAUUGGUUUUUCUGAUUUGAAGUUUUUAAUUUUUGCCACUCUGACUUGAUUUCUGACUUGAUCCACUUGAUUUCAGCCUUGUUUUUCUUGUUGUGGUUUAGUUUUUCUGUUGAGUUUUAGCUCUGGCAUUGUGUUUUUGAUUUGAUGUGUUUAAGUUUCCUCACUCAAUGUUGUGAUUUUAGUUUUGUUUUUCUGUCUUUAGUUGUUUUGUGUUUUAAUCAUUUGAAGUUUUUUAACUCUGCUGUUCUGAUGUGAUGGUGUGUUUUUAGUUAUUUCUGUGUUUGUAGUUUUUCUUGUCGCAGUAUUCUUUUUUACACAACCGUGCAAACACCUAUUAAAAGAUUAAAAGGCCUAUUAAAAGGCAUUGAACAAAUAUGAUCUGAAUAAUAUUUUACCACAUCCACCCCUGGAAAAAAAAACGUGGUAGAAAACAUUAAUAUAUAUAUAUAUAUAUAAAAUUUGGUGUGGUCUAAAGGCAGCACUGCUCCUGCUGGAUGGAAUGUGUCAAUAUGUGGAUUAUAGGCGAAUUGCUUGGCCCUUCACAGGAGUGUCACAAAACAAACCUUAUUGCCCUAAUCCUACCACUCAGCCCCAUUUGCAGUCUUAAAAUCACAGCAAGGGGAUUUACCAUGAAUACACCUGCUAAGUGAAAUAUGCCACAUUACAGAAAAGUAAAUUAGACACAAUAUACAUUUUAGUGUACUGUCCAAAUCCCAAAUGACAAUCGCAAUGUUAAAUAUUAUAUUAUCAGAGCCACAGAGAAGCGAAUACAUUAUAAUCCGUGUAAGGAAGAGGCACAACAUGUGUCACAUCAUGCUGAAGCUGUUCUUCCCCAAACAUGACCCGGGAAUGACCUGAAAUUUCACUGUGCCCCUAAGCCCUGGGCAAAACUGGGUGUAUGAAAUCCACAGACAAAUUCUGCUGUAACCGAUAUGCAAUAUUUCUGUUCCACGCUCGUAGAGGAGGACAUAUUUAUUCGUAAUGUCCAUGGAGAGGUAACUCUAAUCUUUAGAUUGCAUUCCUGCAUGCUCCACAACAAGUUCUUUAUGGCAUUAUGUCAAGGCAAAGAACAGAUUUUGUCAGGUGGAGAUUGGGGUUCAGGAGUUCAUGCGCCGGUCAUGCCGGAGCAUUCCGCACAAUCUUUACAUUCGGAUUCAACUCCAUCUUAGCUUCCAACUCCACCUCAGGGUUUUUUCAAUCAGUUUUAUCAUUUUUCUUCCAAUGUGCUGUCUCUCUAUAGAUAAAAAAAACUUUGUUUCUGUUCUCUGCCCUGAGACACAAACAACAUGAAUGUGAACUUGUGUGACACAUUCCUGGUUCUUGCUGUGUUUGCAAACCUUCCUUUCAUAAUGUAGAUACCAGUUUCUUCCAAUUACAAGAAGUAUUAAAUAUUUCUCCAAAUUACUUUGGCUUAGUUAGAAGAUGAAAUCCAAGAUGAAACUCAUAUGAGCUACAGGCAUAGGAAAUAAAACACACACACAGACACACAAACAAAAAAACAACAACAAGAAAACAAUUGCUUGUUUCACUGGUAUCAUUAAAAAAAUCUUUCUGAAAGCAUCAGCCGUAUAAAUGCACCUGUACACUAUUAUCCUAAUGCAAAUCCAGCACAUGAAGUUAUACUUGAAAUACAAUAAAAGUUUUUCCACAACCAUAAUUUCAGAUAGCACUGAUUAUUCUUGGGAGCUGAAUUGUAGGCACAAUUGCCUUUUAAUGACCUAUGAAAAAAUUCCCUGGCAAAGGUCCAUCUAGAAACCCUAUCACUAAAAAGCACGAUGGCAGGCAUCAGUAUUUUUUUUUUACAAGAUAAUUGCAGUCUCUCGGCCGUUUGAAGACACAGCACUGAGCUUUAAUUAUACAAGCUGAGCAGGCUAUCCAUCUCUCGAUAAAAAAUGCUGUUUGAUUACCUCGCCAUUUCCGAUGGAAGAUUGCAGCUAUAGAAUUACUUGCUCUUGCUUAUGAAGACACACUGUCCAGGUCCAUUUGGAGAGCACAAUUAGGGAAGGAAUACCUCGAAAAAAGACUCAACGUGUAUCUUCUACAAUGUAGAAUGUAAGUGCAGUGGUGACUUCUUUGAAUAAUUGAUCGUCCAUAUGCACUAGGUCCAUUAAGUUCACUGAGGUCCAUUCUAUUCAGGAGUGGUGGAUUAUUUGUCCGUGCAGUUUGACUGAAAAAAUAAUCUGUGUACCAAUGAUGUUACAACGAUGUAGAGAGCAACACUUCAUUUACUUGCCUUCUACAGGCAGCACUGUUCAAUUUCUUUGCCUCAUAAACAUUGAGAGAGGUGCUAUUACAGCUAGAUCCGAUUUGGGGAGUGUCUUUAUAGUGUCCAUAUCUUAUCAUUUUCUUUUAUUAGUAUGACACAUGAAGCACUAGCCUCAUUAAAGAAGCAAAUGUGUUGGCUUUUGCACUAUGGGAAAGCCUGCCAACAUGGAGCUUGGCAGCUGAGAAAAGUAUUUGAAUAAAUUGUGUUUUCAAUUAGACACAUCACGUUAAAUAAAAUGGGCAUUUUUAGUAUAUUGUAUUAUCAACUAAUAAAUAUCCGUUCUCUAUUUGUUUCUUCUGUUUCUGUUUUGAAAUUGCACACCUGUAUAAACCCUAAUUCAGAGUUUAUAGUAUAUGUAUUGGUAUUUUUAAGACCGGAACUGCAAGAUACUGCAAGAUAACUGCUUUCAGAGUGUCCAAACAAAUAAAAACGUUGUUUUUUUGUUUUUUUUGAUGUUCUCCUGAAAUAACAAGACGUAGAGUAGAGUUAAGUGGAGUCGAAAUGGAAGGUAUUAAUCCUUAAUGAGGUAAGUGCAUCUAAAGCUUUUAUGUGCUAUUGAAAUAGCUAAUUUCCUUUUAAGCAGCUAACUUUGGCUGCUAGCUGCUAACGACACUGUACCAGCACUGUAGAGUAACCUAACUAGAUAGAACAUUACCACAGGCUUGUACUAAGCUCUGAGCUUUUAACAGCGCUGUAGAAUACAAGCUAUUUCGGUAGAACAUAAAAACAUUUUCAUUUCAAUUUUAAAAGCUUACCUAACUUAAAUACUACCUAGGUCAAUAACUGACUUUAGACAUAUUUUGUUGUAGGCGUAUGUCAGGUCAAAGUUCACUUACUGAUCUCACAAGCUUGCUUUUUUUUUUUUUUUUUACUGCAAUCUAUUGACUGCGCUUGUACAUAGAGACGCGACGCAUUAACAACUAUGAACAGACCUAAAAGCUCUUAGAAAAUUAAACCGUGUCGUUCUACCUAGUAGAGAAGAGAAUUACAAACAAAAAGAAACCCCUUUUCAUUAUUGGUGUGUUCAAUUUCAAGCCAAAAGCAAUACUUCUAAGGGUCAUGUAGCUCUCUGAUUCAGCAGGCUGCGUACUAACAAGAUAAAUGUGUCGACAUCAAAGAAAAAGAUGUGCCUGUCUACAGUAAUUCAGCCGAGUCCGGCAGCUUUACGGUACACUAAAGCCCGAGCGGACGGCGACGUGCCUCUUUCUAUGCCGCAACGUUCUCUAUAAUAUUCAGAGAUUAUCGAGUGCAUAAUUAGUUUGUUAAGUAGAAGGUAAUAGACAAUGCAGUCAUCAGUGGCACCAGCGACAGACAGCCCAGCUUUCUAUAGUUGUAUCUUUAAUGAUUGGAGCACUUUACUGAUGAUCAGCCAUCAAUAUGAACCUCACAGCCUCGCUGUCUUUGUUGAUCUGUACAGUGAACGGAAAGUCGUAACAAUAUUCACAGAUGAAAUGUAACUAAUUGCUGAAUUAGGACCCUUCUAAUAAAAUUAUCCACUGUAUAGUGAUGAGAGCUGUUGUUCUUGGCGGAUCCCCAGCAGACAUCUACUGUAGUCUUUGCUGCAGAUGUGGGCUCUUCGUUGUGACUACUGCUAAAUCGUCUCCGUUCUGCCUUUUAAAGCAACCUAACUAGGCAUCACUGAGUGUACUGAGUAGAUUAUAUAGCGUUGUGAUAAUAUUUCGAGGAGUUCUGUGCUACAGUAACUUGAGCUCAUUCUGUCCGAUUAAGCCGUUCUUCUACUACACCUCUGCUGAAUGCUGAAUUUCUCACUGUUGAUCAGUUUUCUAUAACAGCAACUCCAACAGUAGUUCCGACUGCAAGGUUUAUAUUAAUGUUCUUGUUCCUAUAUGACACAGUAACAACUUAAAUAGGGACUUGUACGGUGGACGCUUCAUGCAAACUGAUUAAAUAAAUUGCGUACAAAUGUUGAUGAGAGAUUUAUUUAAGAAUAGUUAAGCUUUUCCUUUACAUUUUCCAAUUUGGAACAGCAAUAAGAGAGGAAAAAGAGAGACUGCUGAGAGAACUUUCUUUUAUAGCUGCUAUAAUGUAUAAAGUAAGUAAGAACUCAAACCUGUUUCAUUAUGUGUAUCUAUAAGGGGAUAAUAAGGGUGUCGUUAAUAAUAAAUGUGUUGUUCUUUAAUCAAUAAAUGAAUGUAAUCAUGGCUAAAUUGCUUUGGUAUGAGAGGAAUGAAACACUCAAGGAUAUAUGUGAUGUGUGUUUAUGUUCAGGUAUUUAAUUAUUUAAAAUAAUUCUCCAGAAUAAUUAUUACACAAUUGUGAUACGAGAUCCAUCUGUAGCCUUCUCUGUCUUAAGAAGCCACAUUAUGGACUUAAUUGGGCUUAAUAUAGAGUAUGUGUUUUCUUAAUAGGCUUUUGGACAGUGUCUAGUUUAAAACACCGUCUGUUUGUCCUGCUACCAAGUUAUCCCGUGUACAAGCUGUACUGUAGACAGACAUUUGGCCAUUAAUUCAUUUUCUCCCCACUUCUCUCUCCAUUUGCGUUUUUUAUUCCUAAUUCCAGCUGUCUUUCUUUUCGUCCCCACUUUCUGUUGACAAACGUGAGAGACUUAGCGAGGCAACCUUGCCUUUCUUGCAAGUUCCUUCCCUCUGACAGCCCCUAAUGCAGUUAGUGUAAUGCCUUCUCAGUGGCUGUUAUUAAACUGAUUUGGAACUUUUAUUUAUUUAUUAAGUCUUUCGCAGCGGCCACCACUCAGCCUUGCCAAAUGCAGACACACAUAAGAAAAAAAAGAGGUACAGCCUUUGAGUCACCAUGGUGGCUGCAGACAAUCUAAUUGGUAUUGACAUCUGUGUCUCGAAGGGAAUUUGACAUAUAAGGGCAAAUCAUUCUAUUUAGUCGCCUGAAUGCUCACAGAGGCGGGUCGGCACAAUUCAACAGCGUGCCAUUCAGCUGCCGGUGCGCUCCAGCCCAAGCAAUCGAUCCUAAUCUGAUUCUCGGACGAGGAAGAGAAAAAUGAAAAUAAAAUCAAAAGCACUGUUAGGGCAAUAUUAACAAGGGAGUACAAUCUGGAGGCACCCACACUAAUGCACUCCCGCUGCAGUAUUGUUAAUGCAUGGCCCUUCUGUAAAGGUGCUUGUGCCUCAAAGAAAUCUGCUGCCCCAGCUAAAACUGCAAGUGGCUGCCAAAAAGAGCUCAUUCUCUGAGAGCCCUGGCAUGGCCCAAGCUUGCGCUACCUUGGAUGCUCUGAUUUCAUUAUCCUCACUCCCUGGAGAACACAUUUCUCUUUUUGUGUUGUUGUUGUUGUGAAAGUGGACCAUUGAGGCUGGGAAAGAAUGAAGCAGUCCAUCAGAGUACAGAGUGCUUGAAUAUGAGAUCUGUGGUAAAAAAAAAAAAAAAAAAAAGGACGCUGAAUACAGUCUGUUUAUCUGGAUGGUGGGUUUUAUGUUUGAUGCCAGCAUAAAGGAGCAGGAACCAGGGAUUCUUGUUGAAACUACUGGAAGAACUACUUAAGAAACUUGCAUCAGACUGCUAAUCACCAUCAGGGCAUCUUAUAUUGUCUAAAAUACAAAGUAUUUACAUCAAACAUGUGAGGAGUCUGUGAUUUCACUCUUAUUUACAACAAAAUGUACAGAUUACAACAAAUAAGUAGUGCUUUCCAGUGUUCCCCGUAAGAUCUCAAUUGGUCACCCUGUAUCAGAUAGACCUCUCUGGCCAAGCAGACUUGGGUAAUGUUCAACGUGUCAGUGAUAGGGUUUGAUUUACACAGGUUGGACUGUAGAGCUUGUGUCUCCCGGUCUGGGGGGAUAAACAGGUUGCCCAGUCUCCGAGGCCUUUUGAGAUGAUCAGUUGCACAGAUAGACGUCUAUAAACGUCGGUCUCAUGGCCCGUGGCUUUUUUUUCUGCUUGGUUACUGAUGUUAUCAUUGAGACCAGGAUAAAGAUGUGGAGACAUUCCUCCUACUGGCUAUUGACAAGAAUGAAGGCCUGCUUCUUGCUUUCAGGAUAUAUUAGGCUAAUUAGGUCUCUGGUCAGUACAAGCAGAGAGUGGUGCAGAUUUCCAGGUAGAUAAAUCGCUCCAUUAUAACAUUCAGGAAGCGCAUUGAUAUAUCUAACAUGAUAUUGUUGAAACGAACACAUGAAAUAUAUAGAAAAUACAUACAACAUGUCUUUUUUAUCUCUAACCAUGGCAGGACAAAACAACACACCUCAUGGUGUGC